rnacentral:rRNA from 1 species
UGGGGAAUAUUGGACAAUGGGCGCAAGCCUGAUCUAGCCAUGCCGCGUGUGUGAAGAAGGCCUUUUGGUUGUAAAGCACUUUAAGCGAGGAGGAGGCUACUUGGAUUAAUACUCUAGGAUAGUGGACGUUACUCGCAGAAUAAGCACCGGCUAACUCUGUGCCAGCAGCCGCGGUAAUACAGAGGGUGCGAGCGUUAAUCGGAUUUACUGGGCGUAAAGCGUGCGUAGGCGGCUUCUUAAGUCGGAUGUGAAAUCCCUGAGCUUAACUUAGGAAUUGCAUUCGAUACUGGGAAGCUAGAGUAUGGGAGAGGAUGGUAGAAUUCCAGGUGUGGCGGUGAAAUGCGUAGAGAUCUGGAGGAAUACCGAUGGCGAAGGCAGCCAUCUGGCCUAAUACUGACGCUGAGGUACGAAAGCAUGGGGAGCAAACAGG